GACGAACGCUGGCGGCGUGCUUAACACAUGCAAGUCGAACGAAGAGCGAUGGAAGCUUGCUUCUAUCAAUCUUAGUGGCGAACGGGUGAGUAACGCGUAAUCAACCUGCCCUUCAGAGGGGGACAACAGUUGGAAACGACUGCUAAUACCGCAUACGAUCUAAUCUCGGCAUCGAGGAUAGAUGAAAGGUGGCCUCUACAUGUAAGCUAUCACUGAAGGAGGGGAUUGAGUCUGAUUAGCUAGUUGGAGGGGUAACGGCCCACCAAGGCGAUGAUCAGUAGCCGGUCUGAGAGGAUGAACGGCCACAUUGGGACUGAGACACGGCCCAGACUCCUACGGGAGGCAGCAGUGGGGAAUCUUCCGCAAUGGACGAAAGUCUGACGGAGCAACGCCGCGUGAGUGAUGACGGCCUUCGGGUUGUAAAGCUCUGUUAAUCGGGACGAAAGGCCUUCUUGCGAAUAGUGAGAAGGAUUGACGGUACCGGAAUAGAAAGCCACGGCUAACUACGUG
rnacentral:rRNA from 1 species